GCGUACUUAAAGGCAGAGCACGAGAUUCUUAAUCUCAGGGUUGUGGGUUCGAGCCCCAUGUUGGGCA